rnacentral:rRNA from 1 species
CCCUUAGAUGUUCUGGGCCGCACGCGCGCUACACUGAUGCAUUCAACGAGUCUAAAACCUGCUCUGAUAGGGGUGGGUAAUCUUUUGAAUGUGCAUCGUGAUUGGGAUAGAUGAUUGCAAUUUUUCAUCUUCAACGAGGAAUGCCUAGUAAACGCAAGUCAUCAGCUUGCAUUGAUUACGUCCCUGCCCUUUGUACACACCGCCCGUCGCUACUACCGAUUGAAUGGUUUAGUGAGAUCUCUGGAUUGACGCUGGCUAGGGGGCGACCCUUGGCCAGGCUGUCGAGAAACUGCUCAAACUUGAUCAUUUAGAGGAAGUAAAAGUCGUAACA